rnacentral:rRNA from 1 species
GGAGUUUGGUCCGUGUCUCAGUACCAAUGUGGGGGACCUUCCUCUCAGAACCCCUACUGAUCGUCGGCUAGGUGGGCCGUUACCCCGCCUACUGCCUAAUCAGACGCAUCCCCAUCCCAUAGCGAUUAAUCUUUGGUAUUGCUCAGAUGUCCUCAUAAUACAACAUAGGGCAUUAAUCCGACUUUCGCCGGGCUAUUCCCUACUUGCAGGCAGGUUGGAUACGCGUUACUCACCCGUGCGCCGGUCGCCAUCAAAGAUUGCAAGCAAUCUCCAUGAUGCCCCUCGACUUGCAUGUGUUAAGCCUGUAGCUAGCGUUCAUC